rnacentral:snoRNA from 1 species
UAACACAUUCUACAGUAGGAUCAUUUCUAUAGGAAUCGUCACUCUUUGACUCUUCAAAAGAGCCACUGAAUCCAACUUGGUUGAUGAGUCCCAUAACCUUUGUACCCUAGAGUGAGAAACUAAAAUUAAUCCUAAAUUAGCUUGGUCCGCAAUCCUUAGCGGUUCGGCCAUCUAUAAUUUUGAAUAAAAAUUUUGCUCUGCCGUUGCAUUUGUAACUUCUUCCUUUGGAAGUUGUUACAAUUUUAAAUGGCGCGAUGAUCUUGACCCAUCCUAUGUACUUCCUUUUUGGAAGGGAUAGGGACUUCAUGGGUGGGUACAAAUGGCAGUCUGACAAGU